AACGUAGGAGACAAACGUUAUCCGGAGUUACUGGGCGUAAAGGGCGUGUAGGUGGUAGUGUAAGUCUGGCGUGAAAUUUUUCGGCUUAACCGGGAAAGGUCGUCGGAUACUGCACAACUAGAGGACGGUAGAGGCGUGUGGAAUUCCGGGGUGUAGUGGUGAAAUGCGUAGAGAUCCGGAGGAACACCAGUGGCGAAGGCGACACGCUGGGCCGUACCUGACACUGAUGCGCGACAGCAUGGGGAGCAAACAGG
rnacentral:rRNA from 1 species